rnacentral:rRNA from 1 species
GACAUAGGUGGCGAACGUUGUCCGGAAUUAUUGGGCGUAAAGAGCUCGUAGGCGGUUUGUCGCGUCGGCUGUGAAAACUCGGGGCUCAACCCCGAGCCUGCAGUCGAUACGGGCAAACUAGAGUGUGGUAGGGGAGACUGGAAUUCCUGGUGUAGCGGUGAAAUGCGCAGAUAUCAGGAGGAACACCGGCGGCGAAGGCGGGUCUCUGGGCCAUAACUGACGCUGAGGAGCGAAAGCGUGGGGAGCGAACAGG